UCCCCCUCUCUCUCUCCAGUUCCCUCUCUCUCUCUCCAGUUCCUCCUCUCUCUCUCCAGUUCCCCCUCUCUCUCUCCAGUUCCCCCUCUCUCUCUCUCCUUCUCUUUUUUUCUCAGACAGCCUGUUCUAUCUAUUUGCAGUUUGACACACACAAGUCUUCUCCGCUUCAGUCUCUGAUGAACAGCGUGUGUUUUGUAUCACUAAUAUUUAGUCAAUGGGAAGCGCAGUGCAGAGGAGACAGUGGACGUGCUGUAAGAGAUGCUUGGUGUUGUUCAGCUCUGGCUAUACCCUCUGUCAGGCUUCUGUUCAUCCUUUAGAUACCUGCAUGUCAUGCUUUACUGGUGUCAGAAUCAACCUCUGGUUAUGUGUUGGACCGGGCAGCUUUCUCUCUCUGGUGUAUCACUGCUGGAGUCUGAGUCAGUGGGAUGUUUUAGGUUGAGUGAGUCAGUGGGAUGUUUUAGGUUGAGUGAGUCAGUGGGAUGUUUUAGGUUGAGUGAGUCAGUGGGAUGUUUUAGGUUGAGUGAGUCAGUGGGAUGUUUUAGGUUGAGUGAGUCAGUGGGAUGUUUUAGGUUGAGUGAGUCAGUGGGAUGUUUUAGGUUGAGUGAGUCAGUGGGAUGUUUUAGGUUGAGUGAGUCAGUGGGAUGUUUUAGGUUGAGUGAGUCAGUGGGAUGUUUUAGGUUGAGUGAGUCAGUGGGAUGUUGAGUGGAGAGACUGUAUUUAAUCGACUGAAUGAAUGAACCCAGAGGUCCACCCGAAAAGAAGGGAGUAGAAAACAACAACAUCACCACAGAGGACAACAUCACCAGAGGAGCUGCUUUCUGUCAUAUUUUUUGUGCGUUCCUAUUUGAAGACUGGAGCCAUGCUUUUGUUAUUUAAACCAGGAAGUUUAUUUAGUUUCAAUAACAUCUGUUUUGUUGUGAUUUUGCUUCCGCGUCCUACCCACUGACCACCUCUCUACUGAGCCCCUAAAGUUACUGAUGAAGUAGAGGUCAGAAAGUGUCAGGUCUCACUUCUAACCUUUCAGUUUGAUCCUUGAACUUUGACAUAUGAUGUCCUGUAGAUUUUGAAAGCCCUUCAGACUGAUUAAUCAGCUCCUAACAUAUCGCACAGCUAGUGGCUUGCACAUUUCAAACCUGCCACACUGAUAGGGAAUACCACACAAGAAACUCCCGUAUAGAAGAUUCAACCACACUGAUAGGGAAUACUACACAAGAAACUCCCGUAUAGAAGAUUCAACUACACUGAACAAAAAUACAAAACACAACAUGCAACAAUUUCAAAGAUUUUACUGAGUAACAGUUCAUAUAAAGAAAUCAGUCAAUUUAAAUCCAUUUGUUAGGCCCUGAUAUAUGGAUUUUAUGGCUGGGAAUACAGAUAUGCAUCUGAUCACAGAUACCUUGGUCUGCAGUUGGAUAUACUGAGGCCGGUUGGACAUACUGCCAAAUUCUAACAAACGACUUUGGAGGAGACUUGUGCUUGAGAAAUGAACAUUCAAUUCUCUGGCAACAGCUCUGGUGGACAUUCCUGCGGUCAGCAUGCCAAUUGCACGCUCCCUCAACAGCACAUUUUAGAGUGGCCUUUUGUCCCCUGCACAAGGUGCAUCUAUGUAAUGAUCAUGCUGUUUAAUCAGCUUCUUGAUAUGCCACACCUGUCAGGUGAAUGGAUUUCCCUGGCAGAGGAGAACUGCUCACUAACAGGGAUGUCAACAGAUUUGUGAGAAGAAAAAGAACAUUUGCGUAAAGAACAUUUCUGGGAUCUGUUAUUUCCACUCAUGAAACAUGUGACCAAAUCUUUACAUGUUGUGUUUAUAUUUUAUUCAGUGUAGACACCCUGUGGGGUUGUACCUUACCGUAGGUCAGUGUAGACACCCUGUGGGGUUGUACCUUACUGUAGGUCAGUGUAGACACCCUGUGGGGUUGUACCUUACUGUAGGUCAGUGUAGACACCCUGUGGGGUUGUACCUUACCGUAGGUCAGUGUAGACACCCUGUGGGGUUGUACCUUACCGUAGGUCAGUGUAGACACCCUGUGGGGUUGUACCUCACCGUAGGACAGUAUCCGGCAGGGUAGCCUAGUGGUUAGAGCGUUGGACUAGUAACCGAAAGGUUGCAAGUUCAAAUCCCCGAGCUGACAAGGUACAAAUCUGUCGUUCUGCCCCUGAACAGGCAGUUGACCCACUGUUCCUAGGCUGUCAUUGAAAAUAAGAAUUUGUUCUUAACUGACUUGCCUAGUAAAAUAAAGGUAAAAUAAAAAUAAAUAAAAAAUCAAUUACCAGCCCCUUCACGCAGGCCUUCUUAGGGAGACAUCAUAGCACUUGAUUUGUUUUAUUCACCUGUUUCUCAUUCUGGUGUUUUUUAGUGUUGCUCUCUCAUUCUGGCUGCACCUCCCUAACCUCUGACCCUAAUCUCUGACCCUGUAUCGUGUUCUACAGAAGCCAGGGAACCAUUUGGUUUGUAGGGUGAGGUGCUACUUUAGAAUGAUGUUAUUAAAAAAUACAAAUAAAAGUUAUUUGAAUUAUGAAACAA